rnacentral:rRNA from 1 species
GGGUACGGGCAGACUAGAGUGAUGUAGGGGAGACUGGAAUUCCUGGUGUAGCGGUGAAAUGCGCAGAUAUCAGGAGGAACACCGAUGGCGAAGGCAGGUCUCUGGGCAUUAACUGACGCUGAGGAGCGAAAGCAUGGGGAGCGAACAGGAUUAGAUACCCUGGUAGUCCAUGCCGUAAACGUUGGGCACUAGGUGUGGGGGACAUUCCACGUUUUCCGCGCCGUAGCUAACGCAUUAAGUGCCCCGCCUGGGGAGUACGGCCGCAAGGCUAAAACUCAAAGGAAUUGACGGGGGCCCGCACAAGCGGCGGAGCAUGCGGAUUAAUUCGAUGCAACGCGAAGAACCUUACCAAGGCUUGACAUGAACCGGUAAGACCUGGAAACAGGUCCCCCACUUGUGGCCGGUUUACAGGUGGUGCAUGGUUGUCGUCAGCUCGUGUCGUGAGAUGUUGGGUUAAGUCCCGCAACGAGCGCAACCCUCGUUCCAUGUUGCCAGCGCGUUAUGGCGGGGACUCAUGGGAGACUGCCGGGGUCAACUCGGAGGAAGGUGGGGACGACGUCAAAUCAUCAUGCCCCUUAUGUCUUGGGCUUCACGCAUGCUACAAUGGCCGGUACAAAGGGUUGCGAUACUGUGAGGUGGAGCUAAUCCCAAAAAGCCGGUCUCAGUUCGGAAUUGGGGUUUGC